CCUACGGGGGGCUGCAGUGGGGAAUAUUGGACAAUGGGGGGAACCCUGAUCCAGCCAUGCCGCGUGUGUGAAGAAGGCCCUCGGGUUGUAAAGCACUUUCAGUGAGGAAGAACGCCUGGUGGUUAAUACCCAUCAGGAAAGACAUCACUCACAGAAGAAGCACCGGCUAACUCCGUGCCAGCAGCCGCGGUAAUACGGAGGGUGCGAGCGUUAAUCGGAAUUACUGGGCAUAAAGCGCGCGUAGGUGGCUUGAUAAGCCGGUUGUGAAAGCCCCGGGCUCAACCUGGGAACGGCAUCCGGAACUGUCAAGCUAGAGUGCAGGAGAGGAAGGUAGAAUUCCCGGUGUAGCGGUGAAAUGCGUAGAGAUCGGGAGGAAUACCAGUGGCGAAGGCGGCCUUCUGGACUGACACUGACACUGAGGUGCGAAAGCGUGGGUAGCAAACAGGAUUAGAUACCCUGGUAGUC
rnacentral:rRNA from 1 species